AGGAAUACCUGUCUGUUUCCCUUCUGGCUCCAUGGAAUGUGCACACACUCAGAGGAAGCAGAUCGUGUGUCUCAAAGGCCAUGUACACUCCACACAGCUGAAAGUAGUAAUCCAGCCUAGUGUAGAUGUGCUCUGGGAGCACAUGCCUCCCAUCAUCUUCAGAGAGUCUGUGGAAGCAUUCCUGGACAUGGUCAGUGGAGUGGCCCAGCAACAAUAUUAUGAAGUAGAAAGCAGGAGAAAUGAACUUCACUGCACACAAAGGUUUCAGCUCUUUAUUAGGGGACAAAAUAUAAAAAAAGGAAGAAUGAGGAAGGAGCAAUAAAAAUAACACAAAGCUAAAACCCAAAAUAGUUCAUCCUUUGGUAAGUCUAGAAGUGCUUCAAACAGAAUUUAUUUGGUAGUCAUAGUACGCUUUUUUUUUUUUUUUUUUUUAACCAUAAACCAGAAAAUAUAUUUGCAGACGGCACUGUUGGUUCUUUACAUGUGAAUAUAUCUGGUGUGUAGUGUGUCACAAUAUAAAAUUUCCCCCUUUUUCCUUUUUUUUUUUUUUUUUUUUACCAUUGUAAGGUACUAAUGUAACAUUACUUGGGAAUCUAUGGACUAACGUGACAGAAACAUGUUUGAAUUUUCCUUUUUAAGACCAAAUCGACUACUAUAGUCAAGGAGUAUAUAUAGUUAAAGGUAUUUUUUCAUUCAC
rnacentral:lncRNA from 1 species